GAUAAUGGUUCUGCAAUCACAACAAAAUGCAAAGUAGAUCAUUUACACUUAUUUCAAGUUCAAAUAUAAUUUCUCCAAUUAACAGCAAGAACGAUCCAAAGCUUACAACUACCCAUGAAAUCUUAUGCAGCCUUCCAAUGAAAAUAAUAAUUCCAGAUAACCAACCAAAAAGAUCCCAUGAGAUAAAAUUAUUCAGUUGUCAUU
rnacentral:misc_RNA from 1 species